UACGUGGGGGCCGAGCGUUGUCCGGAGUUACUGGGCGUAAAGGGCGCGCAGGCGGCGGCGUGGGUCCGGCGUGAAAGCCCCCGGCUCAACCGGGGAAGGUCGUCGGGGACCGCGCCGCUUGAGGGCGGCAGGGGCCGGUGGAAUGCCUGGUGUAGUGGUGAAAUGCGUAGAGAUCAGGCGGAACACCCGUGGCGAAGGCGGCCGGCUGGGCCGACCCUGACGCUGAGGCGCGAAGGCGUGGGGAGCGAACGGG
rnacentral:rRNA from 1 species